CCGUCUCGCAAGCUGGUUUCCUUCCACUCGGCCAACGACAAGUCAACCUGAAGCCGCUUUGGCCUUUUCACUUUCUUUCCUCGCUCCCUCGUGUGCUUCCUCCUUUCCUUUUCUUUCCUCCAUUCCUUUCCUCCUUUCGUCCUCGACUUGUCUCGCCUACUCCCCCCCCCAAGUAAGAGGAUCACUUUGUUUCCGUCGCCGUCCCGCGUGGACGAGAGGACCGCGUCCGAGCAGAUACUGAUGGGGGUGCACAGCUGCACCACCGGCGCCCCCAUCUCCUCUUGGGUAAGAGGGGGGCGGGAUUAAAGAGGGGGGAAGAAAUAUGGAAGUUGGACAAAAGAGGACACUUGGACACUUUCAUUCCCAGUUUUCGAAUGCUGGAAAAUUGAUGGAAAUGCACGAGAAAAGUACUCCGUCCAGCAAACACCCCAGAGAAGAAGACUUCCAUGAAGGAGUGAAGAUGAGAUGAAGAAGGACCAGAAUGUGGAGGAGACUCUCAUCCCACCACCCCCCAAGCUCCACAUCAUUAUGCAUCAUUACGCCGAGGUGAUAAAACCACUGGAUUGGGGCCUAACUGCUGAAACAUCAAUAGUGCAAUUGAAGAUGACGUGGGCCGAGCCACGAGGCACCUGAACGCCUCAUCAAGUGCUGCUUUCAAGUGCCGGAAGAAGCUGAACCGAACUCUUUUGCCCCAUGGAACACUGAGUAGGCACCUUACUGGGUGCUAUGGGUUACAUUGACAUGUCUCUAGGGGGCGCCGCAAGGAUGAGAGGGGGAAAAAACAGAUCAAGUCAGAAUAUGUUUGUUGGAUGUGCGCCCUCUACAGGCAAGGCUGCCAUACUGCGCACUUGAAGUGGAUACAACCAAACUGAGUAGUUGGGGUGUAACUGGAAGUGUAAGAGUAAAACAAGUACAUUGCAAAAAGCUGAAGUGAAUUAAUUGACUCAUAAUGUUUAUAUCCAACUUGGAGAAAGCAAACCCACCAGGUUUGAGUAAAUAACGGUUGAGAAAGAGCCUUAGAUGGACAUUUGCAUGUGGACUGGAAUUAGCUCUCUCACGAGAAGGAGCCAUAAAACCAGGCAAAAGUUAUAGCUCUAUCCUGGCGAGGAGAUUCCAUGUUUAUCUUAAACGUCAAACCUACAAGUUAUGGUAUACAUCUGUUGUUUUCCAGUCACCACCCACGAACACUUGCGCUGUUCUGACCUGGCACCAGUGUUGGGUUAGUUACUGAAAACCAGUAACUAGUGACAGUUACUAGUUACUUUAUUUCAAAAGUAACUCAGUUACUAACUCAGUUACUUACACCAAAAAGUAAUGUGUUACUGUGAAAAGUAACUAUUUAGUUACUUCUUUUUUUCUUCUUCUUUUUUUAAAGCUCCCAUUAAGCCUUCAUUUCAGUACUGUUAUUGCACUGGAGAAUAAUACAAUCUGUUGAUCAGCGCUAGGAAUUUUCAAAAUGGGGUCCCAGGGACCCCAUCAACUCAUUAAAAUGGGGUCCUACAGUAAAUUUUUGGGGUCCCAUUUUUUUGUAAGCGUUUUGAAAAAACAAACGUAUGCAUUAUCCUGUUGUAUCUCACAUUCUAUAUUGUGUUUUGGAAAAAGGUUGUCAUAAACGAUACUUAAUUCAUUUAAAAACAUAAUAAAAAAAGAAAACAUAUUUGUAUACAUAUGUAAAUGUAUUCAGUUAUAAACAUUCAUUCACUUUCUCCUGUCCUUCAUGGAUCUGAACUUUACCGCUGCUGGUAGUUUUUUCUAUGUUUUUAUUUAAUAAGUUGUAGGUGUAUUUAUGUCAGUAUAAAAGUGUAAAAAUGGUUUUGCUUAGGUCAUGAAAUGAUGAUAAUGGUGUGCCAAGGCAUACAUAUAUUUUAUAUUUAACGCUUAAAUCUCUGGAGUCUACAUCAACUUCAGAUCUAUCCCUCAUUUCAAAAUGUUUUAGUUUUUUUAUAUGUUGUUUUUUUGUUUGUUUGUUUUCCGCCCUUUUUUGUCAAACAAAACUAUGUUUUUAAUGGCAUACACACAAAAUAUGCAAAAUCUUCCACCAAAAAUAUUUUUCAAAGUGGAAUAUUAGAUGUGAAGUAAUCGAAACCUUUGAUAGGUCAAUAAUUCAUAAUAACAUUGAUUUUGAUUCAAUAUUAUGUUUUGAGCAAUGACAGUUUGAAAGAAAUUGAUUAACGUGGACCCCUUCUUAAACAAGUUGAAAAACGUAUUCGGGUGUUACCAUUUAGUGGUCAAUUGUACGGAAUAUGUACUGUUCUGUGCAAUCUACUAAUAAAUGUCUCAAUCAAUCAAUCCACUCCCUCGCUCUCUCGCUUUCUCUGUCUCUGCCCCUCCCUCACGAAUGUUGCUGUGUACACCUUCACAAUUUGUUUUGUUUUCAACCCCUUCUUAACCCUGGACGUACAUUGAAAAUACACGCAACCCUAACUCAAAAUGCCGGACAUUUCAGCCAUUUAAGAAACCCCGCCUGGACAGCCCCGCAAAAGAAGAGAUGUCCGGGGAAAAGAGGACGCAUGGUCAGUCUAGAAUAUCUCCAUGUUAAGAAACUCGGUUUCAGCUCCACCAUGAUGUCUUGUUAGUAAACACAGACACGCCCCCUUCCCUCCCCACACCCACACCCAGACACACACACAGCACCUUUUCUCUUGUCCCCGCCUGAAGGACGACACUGCAACUCUUCAAUAAAACUCAUUUAGAUCUUCUGUUUUUAGCCGAUACUACAUAAAAAAUAACGUAAAAUAACCCAGUAAUGCAUCAUGUAGUAACGGUAACUGAGUUACUGAAUAUAAAAAAUAACGCGUUAGACUACAAGUUACCGCCGAAACUAACGGUGUUACAGUAACGCGUUACUUUGUAACGCGUUAGUCCCAACACUGCUUAGUACACACCCAGACAGAGAAAGAAGGAAUACAUAACUGAUGGUUUGGCUUCUCCAGGCCAGGACUUCUUCAUAUUUGACCUGACAUCCUCCCAGGAACUGCAGUCCUGUGUAAUGAUGCUCGCUUGUAAUAAAGGCUUUAUUUAUUUAAAGCAACUUUUGGUUCAAUACAGCGUCUUCGACGUCUCUUUUGAUCCAGCUGCACAGCCUUGUUGCCCUUCUGCCCGGGAGAGGGCAACAAGACCAGAAUACACUUCAAAGCAAUUGCUUAAAAAACACAUUUUAUUCUUGAUAUUGUAUAACAUUGACUAUAUCGCAGGACAACAUUUAUUUCACGAUGGAAAUGUUAAGUAACUGAAUUGUGAGUUUUAAGAGUCCUGAUAGAACAUUUUCACCAAUACGGUAACAAUGUUGGAGUCUUGAGUAAUGGCGGAUAUGAUACCAGCACGGAUUGGAGAAGAUACUUUUAUUAUUUUGUAGUGUGGCAUGUUAGAAAAGGGUUGAUGAUGGUAGGUAUGAAAAACAUUAACCUAUAUUAGUCUGUAAUGGACUUGUAUUGUUUUUUGGCGACGCCUAGUGGCCACAAUAAUUCAUAAUAAUGCACUAAGUUUGAGUUCAAACCCCGGCCGAGUCAUACCAAAGACUAUAAAAAUGG